CACCCCAAAAGCCUUUUUAAAGGCUAACUACUUUUACUAUUUUAGUGCUGUUGUUAAGUAUUUUUAUUUUUUUGAAUUGAUAACUAAUUUAGUUUGUAGUUUCUGGUUGAGUGAUUAGCUUAGCAUCAUUUAGCUUAGCAUCAUUUAUUACCUGUACAGCUUUCUUUUCAGGAGACAGAGAGAGAGAAUUUUUUAAGAGAAGGAUGGGCCGGCCUCGGAAGAAGCCCAAGGAGCCAACAGUCGCCAGGAGGCCACCGCGUAAGAUCCUCCCAAGAGUAGCAGUUCACACUGGUAUACCGUGGGCAUGUGUGAGGGUCACCAACUCCCCUCCAGCUCUGCCGUGGAGCAGGCCCUGUAUGCAGCAGGUGCAGGUUGCUCCACAGGCACCCAAUCAGGAAGUCAAUCAGGAGAUCAGACUUCCUGAGGAUGCUGUAAUGGAGCUGAGCUGCAUUCCUGGCAUCCAGGACCUGGCUGUGGAGAUGGGCUUCCUGCCUCCAUGCAGCAGGCAACAGGAUGGUCUUGCCACACCUCUGCCCAGUGUGGUUCCAGUCACCUCCGUCACCAGCGCUCAUCAGCCCUCCACCAGCACAUCUGAGAGCGAAGAGGAGCGCUGGAUUCUUCGGGUGCGCCACCAUCUUCAGGAGCCCUACUACAGAGAGGUGGCGCGAAGAGCUGCACUUCAGAACCAGAUGGAGGAAGAAAUGAUGAACAGCGACCCGGCAGCAGACAGUCCACAGGAAUCCCAGGAGAUUGGUCUUCCCGAAGACGUUGUCGAGGAGCUGAACUCCAUUCCUGGCAUCUGGGACCUGGCUACGGAGAUGUGCUUCCUCCUUCCACCUUACUAGUACCACUAUUAGUAAUACUAGCAGUACCAAUAGUGAUCACUAGUACAGGUAAGUAUUAAGGUAAGUAUUUAGUAACGGGCGACACGGUGACAUUGUGGUUAGCACCUUGUCUCGCAGCAAGGAAAUUUCCUUCUGUGUGGAGAUUUGCAUGUAUCUCCCCGUGCCAGCGUGGGUUUUCUCCGGGUUCUCCAGUUUCCCCCACAAAACAACUAGGCCAAUUGGAGAUGAAUUGGACACGAAUUGGAAUUAAUUUAACCUGUAAAUUGCUUGUAUAUGAGGCGCCCCCUCGGUCAUUUAUCAAUAAAACCUCGCACAUACACGACCUUUCCUCA
rnacentral:lncRNA from 1 species